UUUGCUGGGACGUCCACUCCUGGGAAGACUGACGGCUGUCCUGAAUGUUUUCCUCUUCUUGCUGUUUCCAAGCAUUGCUAUUGUAAUCCUUUUUUUAAUCAGGACAUCCCAAUAAUGUUUUUUAGUUGUUGAUUGCCCUGAUUUUAUCAUUAAAUGUCAUAUUUCCUUUGUUUUUUUCUGGCACCGGGUUGGAUGUAAUGUGUGGCUAUCACCAGAAGGUGGUGUAAACUCACCUACAACGUGUUUAAUGACUGCUUUGAUUGAACUAAUGGAGGAGUUUGAAGGUCCAGGGUGUUCCACGACUGCAUUUCACUCAGUGCCUCUGUGUCUCUGUCACUGCAGGAACAACAUGGAGCAAGAAGUCAGAGCUCUCAGGAGGCUGACAAACCUCACAGAAGGAAGGGAGAAAAAAAAUACACCUGUUAUCAGUGUGGAAAGCAUUUUUGCAGUUCACAAUAUAUACAACGUCAUCAAGUCGUCCACACUGGAGAGAAACCGUUCGUCUGUGACAUCUGUGGAAAGUCUUUUCCUUGGGCUUCAAGCUUAAAAUCACACCAGCUUAUCCACAGUGGAGAGAAACUGUACACCUGUGAUCAGUGUGGCAAAGCUUUUAAUGUACGUAGCAACCUACGGAGGCAUAAAUUUACCCACUCUGGAAGUAAGGCAUGCAACUGUGACUAUUGUGGAAAGACUUUCAGCCACACGUGGAGCAGAAAUAUACACCUACGCAUUCACACUGGACAGGGUGUAUACUCCUGUGAUCAGUGUGGCAAAAUGUUUGCAGCACAAUCACGUUUAAAAUCCCACAAGUUUACCCACAGUGAGGAGAGACGUUAUCAAUGUGACCUGUAUGAUAAGGCUUUUAAAGCUCCACAUUACCUGAAAGCACACCAACAGAUCCACAGCAGAAAGAGACUCUACAAGUGCAGUUACUGCGAGAAGCAGAGCCACACAGAUGGAUCCAGUUCUCAAACCUGUCGUCGCUGUGGUGGUGGGAAACCGUUUCGCUGUGACUAUUGUGGGAAAAUCUUCAGUCAACAAAGGAACCUGAAAAUACAUCAACGCAGACACACUGGAAACAAACUGAAAUACUGCAAAGACUGUGGGAAAAGCUUCCCCACAACAGAUGCAUUACAACGCCAUGAACUCAUCCACAGUGGGGUUAAAAACCACGUCUGUGACCAGUGUGGGUCAUCCUUCACCAUUGCAGGUAAUCUUAAAAAACAUAAACGCAGCCACACAGGAGAGAAACUAUACAAGUGCAGACACUGUGAGAAAAGCUUCUCAUAUUCCAGUAGUUGUAACCGUCACGAAAGCUUGCACACACAUUGAAGGGAACUACAGAUGUGACCAGUGUGACAAGAGCUGCAAAGAAAGUGGGGUUCCAUACCACUUCAAUAAUUCAGAGUUGUUACAGUUUUUUUACUUUUGAUUGUUCUGAAUUGUAUUUUAUUGAAUUUUUUUUCUUACUGUAUUUAAGUUCAGUUUAUUUCUGUAAGCUUGAAGUUUGUGUUACCUUUUGUUUCAUGUAUUGUGAUCCACAUGCUCUCAUGCUGUUUUCUUUCUGUUGAAUUUGUUUGUUUUUUUCAAAUCCUGUAAAAAGUUCAAUAAAAAAUUCCACUUCCUGUA